rnacentral:rRNA from 1 species
UUAAUUGAAGAGUUUGAUCAUGGCUCAGAUUGAACGCUGGCGGCAGGCCUAACACAUGCAAGUCGAGCGGCAGCGACAUAUACAAUCCUUCGGGUGCGUUUAUGGGCGGCGAGCGGCGGACGGGUGAGUAAUGCCUGGGAAUAUGCCCUGAUGUGGGGGAUAACCAUUGGAAACGAUGGCUAAUACCGCAUAAUCUCUUCGGAGCAAA